AUUGAACGCUGGCGGUAUGCUUAACACAUGCAAGUCGAACGGUAACAGGCCUUCGGGCGCUGACGAGUGGCGGACGGGUGCGUAACGCGUAGGAAUCUGCCUGGUAGUGGGGGACAACUUGGGGAAACUCAAGCUAAUACCGCAUACGCCCUACGGGGGAAAGCGGGGGAUCUUCGGACCUCGCGCUAUCAGAUGGGCCUGCGUUGGAUUAGCUAGUUGGUAGGGUAAAGGCCUACCAAGGCGACGAUCCAUAGCUGGUCUGAGAGGACGAUCAGCCACACUGGGACUGAGACACGGCCCAGACUCCUACGGGAGGCAGCAGUGGGGAAUAUUGGACAAUGGGCGCAAGCCUGAUCCAGCAAUACCGCGUGUGUGAAGAAGGCCUGAGGGUUGUAAAGCACUUUUAAUAGGGAGGAAAACCUAUCGGCUAAUACCCGGUGGCUUGACAUUACCUAUAGAAAAAGCACCGGCUAACUCCGUGCCAGCCGCCGCCGUAAAAC
rnacentral:rRNA from 1 species